rnacentral:rRNA from 1 species
GAUGAACGCUAGCGGCAGGCCUAACACAUGCAAGUCGAGGGGCAUCAUGGCGUAGCAAUACGCUGAUGGCGACCGGCGCACGGGUGCGUAACGCGUAUAGAACCUACCCACCGCAGGGGGAUAACCCGCCGAAAGGCGGACUAAUACCCCAUGGUUCCCCGACCCUGCCUGGGGUUGGGGGUAAAGCCUACGGGCGGCGGUGGAUGGCCCUGCGUGCCAUUAGCUAGUUGGUGAGGUAAAGGCUCACCAAGGCGACGAUCUGUAGCGGGUCUGAGAGGAUGAUCCGCCACACUGGAACUGAGACACGGUCCAGACUCCUACGGGAGGCAGCAGUGAGGAAUAUUGGUCAAUGGGCGAAGCCUGAACCAGCCAUGCCGCGUGAAGGACGAAGGCGUUCUGCGUUGUAAACUUCUUUUAAUAAGGGAAGAAACCUACGAUUUCUAUUGUAGCCGACGGUACCUUAUGAAUAAGCACCGGCUAACUCCGUGCCAGCAGCCGCGGUAAUCACGAG